CUGCAGCUUAUUAAGCCGACUAGACAGGUUGUUUGUACUUGUGUGGUGUGCAAAGGCUGCAGACAGCAAGUCUUUGGUUUGUGUAUGAGCCCAGCUGUGCAGUGCUGGGCCCUUGAAGGGACCACUGAGACAUAA
ensembl:snoRNA SNORA70 Small nucleolar RNA SNORA70